CAAAUACACAACAAGCACAAAGGUUACAAAGAUGGAGUUGACACUAGGAAGAAAACAAAUAUUUCAAGUGCAGUCCUAACCCUGUGCUCAGGAGCAGCACCUGCAGAACAACUUACUGAUUUUUUUUGCUCAUUCACUUUGUGGCAGUGAUGCUGUUCAGGACAAGGACUGAUUUAAAAGAUGUAAGACAUGAUUUUCCUCUGAUUUUGCUUCCUAAAGAGCUUUUUGGGUGAAUGUAUUGAUGUUUAGAUUGUACCGCUGCCGUUGUUUCUAUAUUUGCUCUUCCCUUCUGCUGCUGCUAUUGUUGCACCUCAUUCUUGCUCCUUUUUUUCACACAGGCUACAUGGUGAUUUUUGUAGGUGGAAUAGCAGUUUAUGGUUCAGUCUUCUUUUGCUCUACAUUUGCCUUAUUCCAAUUUUGAGAUUGUUGGGUUUUGUUUUGUUACUUCUGUUGCUUCUCUCACU